CCUACGGGUGGCAGCAGUGAGGAAUUUUGGUCAAUGGGCGAGAGCCUGAACCAGCCAAGUCGCGUGAAGGAUGAAGGAUCUAUGGUUUGUAAACUUCUUUUAUAUGGGAAUAAAGUGAGGAACGUGUUCCUCUUUGUAUGUACCAUAUGAAUAAGCAUCGGCUAACUCCGUGCCAGCAGCCGCGGUAAUACGGAGGCUGCGAGCGUUAUCCGGAUUUAUUGGGGUUAAAGGGUGCGCAGGCGGUGGUGCAAGUCAGCGGUCAAAUUGCGGGGCUCAACCCCGUACUGCCGUUGAAACUGCAUCCCUUGAGUGUGCGAGAGGUAUGCGGAAUGCGUGGUGUAGCGGUGAAAUGCAUAGAUAUCACGCAGAACUCCGAUUGCGAAGGCAGCAUACCGGCGCGCAACUGACGCUCAUGCACGAAAGCGUGGGUAUCGAACAGGAUUAGAUACCCCUGUAGUC
rnacentral:rRNA from 1 species